rnacentral:rRNA from 1 species
CGUAAGGCGCCGAAUGAGUCAUUAAAAAUAACAUCAUCCGAUCCCUAGUCGGCAUAGUUUAUGGUUAAGACUACGACGGUAUCUGAUCGUCUUCGAUCCCCCUAACUUUCGUUCUUGAUUAAUGAAAACAUCCUUGGCAAAUGCUUUCGCAGUAGUUAGUCUUCAAUAAAUCCAAGAAUUUCACCUCUGACAAUUGAAUACUAAUGCCCCCAACUAUCCCUAUUAAUCAUUACGUCGAUCCUAGAAACCAACAAAAUAGGAUCAAACGUCCUAUUUCAUUAUUCCAUGCUAAUGUAUUCAAGCGCGAGCCUGCUUUAAACACUCUAAUUUUUCAAAGUAACAGUCCUGAUUCCCGCCACACCAAAUUAAUGGCAUGACAGUUCUUCAGAAGGGAGGAACCAGUGACACCAGUGCAUACCUAAGGCACGACCAGCGUACUGAUCCCGAAAUUCAACUACGAGCUUUUAACUGCAACAACUUUAAUAUACGCUAUUGGAGCUGGAAUUACCGCGG